rnacentral:rRNA from 1 species
AGUGAACGCUGGCGGUAGACCUAACACAUGCAAGUCGAACGGCAGCACAGUAAGAGCUUGCUCUUACGGGUGGCGAGUGGCGGACGGGUGAGGAAUACAUCGGAAUCUACUUUUUCGUGGGGGAUAACGUAGGGAAACUUACGCUAAUACCGCAUACGACCUACGGGUGAAAGCAGGGGAUCUUCGGACCUUGCGCGAUUGAAUGAGCCGAUGUCGGAUUAGCUAGUUGGCGGGGUAAAGGCCCACCAAGGCGACGAUCCGUAGCUGGUCUGAGAGGAUGAUCAGCCACACUGGAACUGAGACACGGUCCAGACUCCUACGGGAGGCAGCAGUGGGGAAUAUUGGGCAAAGGGCGCAAGCCUGAUCCAGCCAUACCGCGUGGGUGAAGAAGGCCUUCGGGUUGUAAAGCCCUUUUGUUGGGAAAGAAAAGCAGCAGGUUAAUACCCCGCUGUUCUGACGGUACCCAAAGAAUAAGCACCGGCUAACUUCGUG